UACGUAGGGUCCGAGCGUUGUCCGGAAUUACUGGGCGUAAAGAGCUCGUAGGUGGUUUGUCGCGUUGUUCGUGAAAACUCACAGCUCAACUGUGGGCGUGCGGGCGAUACGGGCAGACUUGAGUACUGCAGGGGAGACUGGAAUUCCUGGUGUAGCGGUGGAAUGCGCAGAUAUCAGGAGGAACACCGGUGGCGAAGGCGGGUCUCUGGGCAGUAACUGACGCUGAGGCGCGAAAGCUAGGGGAGCAAACAGG
rnacentral:rRNA from 1 species